rnacentral:lncRNA from 1 species
GUAGGGGCUGUGAGGGCUCUGYCCCGGCUGCACAUCCACCAGCCGCCCAUCAGCCAUCUUCUGCGGGGAGGAGGGGGGCAGGCGGAAACCCAGGCCAGGCCCAUACGUGUCGCUGUAAAUCUGCGCGUUGGGCUUGUACAGGCUGUCCUCCAGCUCCGUCUGCAAGGCAGCUGCGGAGUAGGUGCUGAGGGAGCGAACAGAGCCCCUCUUGUACAGCCCUCCGGAGUAGCCGAAAGGAUCUCCCAUGCCAGCCAGGGACUGGGUGGAGGUGAUGCUGAGGCGGCCCUCGUGCACCAUGCUGUAGGGAUCGGCGUAGAGCCCCUCGUUCUUCACCAGCACCAUGUUCUUCCCAGCCAGGUCUUCGUCCGGCUUCACGUCCCGGCGCUCCAGGAUGGCGCUGGGGCUGGGCGAGACGCCUUGCGCGGGCGGCAGGUUGGAGAGGCGCUCGCUGUGGUGGACGGGGCUGCCCGCGUAGGAGGGUGGGCGGCCCCCGCUAUAGGACAUGCGAGAGCGGGACGGGGAGGAGGACUGGAGCACGGGCGGCGGGGAGCCGGAGGUCAGGUGAGAGGCUGGCGACAUGUUGUUCAGCCGGCGGGUGGGAGACGACUCCCUGGAGGUGUAAACCAUCUCCCUCUGCGGGGAAGGGACAGGGACCGUCAGCACCGCGGCCCCUCCGGGCUGCACCCCCUUCCCUUGCUCUGCCUGGCUGGGACCCUGCCUUGGUGCAACCCUCCCAUGGAGAGGUCUGGGUGCCCGCCGUGGAUGCUGAGGGUUAGGGCAGAGCUGCUCGCUGUGUGCAUGUGUGUGUCUGUGCACUACCYCUCUGCAACUACCGAUCCCCAAGCAAGCACCCUCCUGCCAGGCGAGGCUGAGCUAGAGACCCCCAGCCACGCUCUGUCCCUGGUUGCACCAAGAACCGGGAUCUGCAGCUCGUGUGUCUUCACCUGCCCUUGGCAAACGGCAGCUCCCUCAUUCCCAUCUAGGAGCAGGACGAUUCAUUCUGAUGAAUUCCCUAAAUAUCAUGUUUAUUACUCUACUGUCAGGCUCCAAACAUCCAUUCACUUAAAGUAA